GGAGGGAACACCCACUGGCGAAAGGGGGACUCUUUGUGUCUGUUAACUGUACGCUGAGGCGCGAAAAGCGUGUGGAGCAAAACAGGAUUUAGAUAUCCCUGGUAGUCCACGCCGUAAAACGAUGAGUGUUAAGUGUUAGAGGGUGUCCGCCCUUUAGUGUUGCAGCAAACGCACUAAGCACUCCGCCUGGGGAGUGCGACCGCAAGGGUUGAAACUCAAAGGAAUUGACGGGGGCCCGCACAAGCGGUGGAGCAUGUGGUUUAAUUUGAAGCAACGCGAAGAACCUUACCAGGUCUUGACAUCCUCUGACAAUCCUAGAGAUAGGACUUUCCCCUUUGGGGGACAGAGUGACAGGUGGUGCAUGGUUGUCGUCAGCUCGUGUCGUGAGAUGUUGGGUUAAGUCCCGCAACGAGCGCAACCCUUGAUCUUAGUUGCCAGCAUUCAGUUGGGCACUCUAAGGUGACUGCCGGUGACAAACCGGAGGAAGGUGGGGAUGACGUCAAAUCAUCAUGCCCCUUAUGACCUGGGCUACACACGUGCUACAAUGGAUGGUACAAAGGGCUGCAAGACCGCGAGGUUUAGCCAAUCCCAUAAAUCCAUUCUCAGUUCGGAUUGUAGGCUGCAACUCGCCUACAUGAAGCCGGAAUCGCUAGUAAUCGCGGAUCAGCAUGCCGCGGUGAAUACGUUCCCGGGCCUUGUACACACCGCCCUUUAAAGGACAAGAGUACUGU
rnacentral:rRNA from 1 species